AACGCUAGCUACAGGCUUAACACAUGCAAGUCGAGGGGCAGCAUGAUUGAAGCUUGCUUCAAUUGAUGGCGACCGGCGCACGGGUGAGUAACACGUAUCCAACCUGCCGAUGACUCGGGGAUAGCCUUUCGAAAGAAAGAUUAAUACCCGAUGGCAUAGUUCUUCCGCAUGGUGGAACUAUUAAAGAAUUUCGGUCAUCGAUGGGGAUGCGUUCCAUUAGGUUGUUGGCGGGGUAACGGCCCACCAAGCCUUCGAUGGAUAGGGGUUCUGAGGGGAAGGUCCCCCACAUUGGAACUGAGACACGGUCCAAACUCCUACGGGAGGCAGCAGUGAGGAAUAUUGGCCAAUGGACGAGAGUCUGAACCAGCCAAGUAGCGUGAAGGAUGACUGCCCUAUGGGUUGUAAACUUCUUUUAUACGGGAAUAAAGUGAGGCACGUGCGCCUUUUUGUAUGUACCGUAUGAAUAAGGAUCGGCUAACUCCGUGCCAGCAGCCGCGGUAAUACGGAGGAUCCGAGCGUUAUCCGGAUUUAUUGGGUUUAAAGGGAGCGUAGGCGGACGCUUAAGUCAGUUGUGAAAGUUUGCGGCUCAACCGUAAAAUUGCAGUUGACACUGGGUGUCUUGAGUACAGUAGAGGCAGGCGGAAUUCGUGGUGUAGCGGUGAAAUGCUUAGAUAUCACGAAGAACUCCGAUUG
rnacentral:rRNA from 1 species